CAAAACCAAACCAGUCAGACCAGAGAGAGGUUUCAGUCUCUCUCACCUGUUUACGGACGUUUAAUUUUUGAUCCUGCAAUUACAGGACAAGGAAAUACGUUAGUUGAUGACGUCACUGCGCGAGCCUUUCCUGUGAGCGGGAAAACGCUGGGGAAAGUUACAUGAUAAGUCAGACCAGCAGGGCAAAGUUCAAUGGCACGCCUGCUCCAAAGGUGAUCAGGGUCCUGCUGUAGUGGAUCAGUCUUCACUGGAUCUGUGCAGGUCAACAUCCAUUACUUAUCUUACUGCAGUCACGAGUUUUCUUUUUGUAGACACUGAAUCCAUUAAGUCUGCUGAGGGCUCUGAUCUCCUUGUCAGUUGACAUAUAAUUUAGAAAAUUAUGAACAUACAUAAGUGAGAGAGCUAAAUUUUAUGGCCUGAUACCCUCUCUAAAUGGCUUAUUUUACUACAAGAUUUGAUGUAGUGCUGUUUCUUUUUUUUUUUUUUUUUUAAAG